rnacentral:rRNA from 1 species
GACGAACGCUGGCGGCGUGCCUAAUACUUGCAAGUAGAACGAGUGGCGGACGGGUGAGUAAUGUCUGGGAAACUGCCUGAUGGAGGGGGAUAACUACUGGAAACGGUAGCUAAUACCGCAUACCAUCAGAUGUGCCCAGAUGGGAUUAGCUUGUUGGUGGGGUCACGGCUCACCAAGGCGACGAUCCCUAGCUGGUCUGAGAGGAUGACCAGCCACACUGGAACUGAGACACGGUCCAGACUCCUACGGGAGGCAGCCGUGGGGAAUAUUGGACAAUGGGCGCAAGCCUGAUGCAGCCAUGCCGCGUGUAUGAAGAAGGCCUUCGGGUUGUAAAGUACUUUCAGCGGGGAGGCGUUACCCGCAGAAGAAGCACCGGCUAAAUACGAGACAGCAGCCGCGGUAAUUC